rnacentral:rRNA from 1 species
CCUUUUAAGUCUAAUGUGAAAGCCUUCGGCUCAACCGAAGAAGUGCAUUGGAAACUGGGAGACUUGAGUGCAGAAGAGGACAGUGGAACUCCAUGUGUAGCGGUGAAAUGCGUAGAUAUAUGGAAGAACACCAGUGGCGAAGGCGGCUGUCUGGUCUGUAACUGACGCUGAGGCUCGAAAGCAUGGGUAGCGAACAGGAUUAGAUACCCUGGUAGUCCAUGCCGUAAACGAUGAUUACUAAGUGUUGGAGGGUUUCCGCCCUUCAGUGCUGCAGCUAACGCAUUAAGUAAUCCGCCUGGGGAGUACGACCGCAAGGUUGAAACUCAAAAGAAUUGACGGGGGCCCGCACAAGCGGUGGAGCAUGUGGUUUAAUUCGAAGCUACGCGAAGAACCUUACCAGGUCUUGACAUCUUCUGCCAACCUAAGAGAUUAGGCGUUCCCUUCGGGGACAGAAUGACAGGUGGUGCAUGGUUGUCGUCAGCUCGUGUCGUGAGAUGUUGGGUUAAGUCCCGCAACGAGCGCAACCCUUAUUACUAGUUGCCAGCAUUCAGUUGGGCACUCUAGUGAGACUGCCGGUGACAAACCGGAGGAAGGUGGGGACGACGUCAAAUCAUCAUGCCCCUUAUGACCUGGGCUACACACGUGCUACAAUGGAUGGUACAACGAGUCGCGAAACCGCGAGGUUUAGCUAAUCUCUUAAAACCAUUCUCAGUUCGGACUGUAGGCUGCAACUCGCCUACACGAAGUCGGAAUCGCUAGUAAUCGCGGAUCAGCAUGCCGCGGUGAAUACGUUCCCGGGCCUUGUACACACCGCCCGUCACACCAUGAGAGUUUGUAACACCCAAAGCCGGUGGGGUAACCUUUUAGGAGCUAGCCGUCUAAGGUGGGACAGAUGAUUAGGGUGAAGUCGUAACAAGGUAGCCGUAGGAGAACCUGCGGCUGACACCCCCCCUUUUUAUAGACGGGGCCCCCCCCCUUCCAGGUUGGUCCCCCCCCCG